rnacentral:lncRNA from 1 species
GAUUUAGUGUUCUUGGCAUGGAAGCUCAUCAAGAAGAAGCAAGAAACGACAAUGUACGUAAGAUAAAAUUGUUGAAAACACUCAACCAUAGCUAUUGGCCUAUUUUUCGAACAAACUAUCCGUUGAUUGAGUGAAUGACAACCAUAUAAUUGCUCCAGAAGAUGAGGCGCACUUUCGUGAUCGGUGCAUGCAACACGUGGACGUGUAGAGACGGUGAUGCGUGAAGUCUACGCACAAUUUCGACGAUGCGUUGCACUAUUUUGACAAUGAUCUUCAAAGGCAAUUUGUUCCCACCGUACUAUGGACCAUUUGGUGGUGUGUGUUUUGUGUUUCUGGCAAUACGCUAAUUCUCGAC